CAAAUAGCGUAUAUUAAAGUUGUUGCAGUUAAAAAGCUCGUAGUUGAAUUUCGGGGUUAGUAGGCUGGUCAUGCCUCUGGUAUGUACUGGUCUCACUGAUUCCUCCUUCCUGAUGAACCGUAAUGCCAUUAAUUUGGUGUUGCGGGGAAUUUGGACUGUUACUUUGAAAAAAUUAGAGUGUUUAAAGCAAGCUAACGCUUGAAUACAUUAGCAUGGAAUAAUGAAAUAGGACGUUCGAUCCUAUUUUGUUGGUUUCUAGGAUUGACGUAAUGAUUAAUAGGGAUAGUUGGGGGCAUUAGUAUUCAAUUGUCAGAGGUGAAAUUCUUGGAUUUAUUGAAGACUAACUACUGCGAAAGCAUUUGCCAAGGAUGUUUUCAUUAAUCAAGAACGAAAGUUAGGGGAUCGAAGACGAUCAGAUACCGUCGUAGUCUUAACCAUAAACUAUGCCGACUAGGGAUCGGAUGAUGUUAAUUUUUUAAUGACUCAUUCGGCGCCUUACG
rnacentral:rRNA from 1 species